rnacentral:rRNA from 1 species
UACGGAGGGUGCGAGCGUUGUCCGGAAUCACUGGGCGUAAAGGGCGCGUAGGCGGCGCGGAUAGUCGGCGGUGAAAGCCCGGAGCUCAACUCCGGGUCGGCCGUCGAUACUUCCGGGCUUGAGCACUGUAGAGGCAGAUGGAAUUCCGGGUGUAGCGGUGGAAUGCGUAGAGAUCUGGAAGAACACCGGUGGCGAAGGCGGUCUGCUGGGCAGUUGCUGACGCUGAUGCGCGACAGCGUGGGGAGCAAACAGG